AACGCACAUUGCGCCCCUCGGUAUCCCGGGGAGCAUGCCUGUUCGAGCGUCACGACGCUCAUCAAGCCCUGCUUGGUAUUGGAUCACGCUGCCCGCGGGUCCCAAAUCUAGUGGCCGAUGCCCCGUGGCUCGUAGCGUAGUACUCUUCUCGCUACUGGGUCCGCGGGACGUCGCCCCAGCAAGACCUCACGGUUGACCUCGAAUCAGGUAGGAAUACCCGCUGAACUUAA
rnacentral:misc_RNA from 2 species